rnacentral:rRNA from 1 species
GACGAACGCUGGCGGCGUGCUUAACACAUGCAAGUCGAACGGUGAAGGGGAGCUUGCUCCCUGGAUCAGUGGCGAACGGGUGAGUAACACGUGGGCAACCUGCCCCUGACUUCGGGAUAACGCUUCGAAAGAGGUGCUAAUACCGGAUAUGAACCCUGAGGGCAUCCUCGGGGUUGGAAAGUUUUUCGGUCAGGGAUGGGCCCGCGGCCUAUCAGCUUGUUGGUGAGGUAGUGGCUCACCAAGGCGACGACGGGUAGCCGGCCUGAGAGGGCGACCGGCCAACCUGGGACUGAGACACGGCCCAGACUCCUACGGGAGGCAGCAGUGGGGAAUAUUGCUCAAUGGGCGAAAGCCUGACGCAGCAACGCCGCGUGAGGGAUGAAGGCCUUCGGGUUGUAAACCUCUUUCGGCAGGGAAGAAGCGAAAGUGACGGUACCUGCAGAAGAAGCUCCGGCUAACUACGUGCCAGCAGCCGCCGUAA